CCUACGGGAGGCAGCAGUGAGGCAUAUUGGUCAAUGGACGAGAGUCUGAACCAGCCAAGUAGCGUGAAGGAUGACUGCCCUAUGGGUUGUAAACUUCUUUUAUAAAGGAAUAAAACGAGGCACGUGUGCCUUUUUGCAUGUACUUUAUGAAUACGGAUCGGCUAACGCCGUGCCAGCAGCCGCGGUAAUACGGAGGAUCCGAGCGUUAUCCGGAUUUAUUGGGUUUAAAGGGAGCGUAGAUGGGUUGUUAAGUCAGUUGUGAAAGUUUGCGGCUCAACCGUAAAAUUGCAAUUGAUACUGGCAGUCGUGAGUACAGUUGAGGUAGGCGGAAUUCGUGGUGUAGCGGUGAAAUGCUUAGAUAUCACGAAGAACUCCGAUUGCGAAGGCAGCUUACUAAACUGCCACUGACAUUGAUGCUCGAAAGUGUGGGUAUCAAACAGGAUUAGAUACCCGGGUAGUC
rnacentral:rRNA from 1 species